rnacentral:lncRNA from 1 species
GCGGGACAGCGCGAGAGGACGCGAGUGCGCUACUUCCUAAGCACCGGGUCAGCUCAGUCCUUGAGCGCCGUCGCGUUCCGUCCCCUGCGUCUGUCCAGAGGCAGACACUCGAGUCUGCACGGGGAAAGGAGCAGGACCCCCCAGCGCCUUCUGGAAGCCCAGGCUCGAGCCCGCCAAGUACAGGACCGGAAGAGACGGAGGCGCGGCGCUGCAGGCCACGCCCUCCCCGUCUGCCUACUUCCUGCUUCCGGCGUCUCUCUGGUCUCUCCAGGGCGACGCGGGCUCCAGCUCGGCUGAGCGCACGGUUUCACGUUUUCUCCUCGGACACCCGGGUGCAGACCUCGGGGAGGAGCUGGCUGAAGCCCCGUCCGCCCCCACAUCUCUCUCUGGUUCUCUCUCUCUGCGCCUCCAUCUUCUUUAUAUUUCACCAUUUCUGUCUUGCAAUUUCUUUCUCAUCUGCAUUAUAACAUCGGGAAGGAUCUAUAUUCCCUGAAUUUCUGUAAAAAGAGAACAGAUUCCAAGUUGAGUAGAGCAUGAAAAAAAAAAGCCUGAUUGCCCAGAAGUCACUAAAUCUGUAAUAUUUCCAUUUACUAUUAAAAAAAAAAAAACCCUCCUCUCUACAGCUCCCUGGUGUGAUUCGCACUAUAUGUAGAAAACAUCAACAUCAGAUGUUUUAUUUUGCCUGUGACAUAUUUUAACGUAUUUCAUAUGUUGGUAUUUUUCUCCAACAUAAAAAUGUUUCAAAUUCUAGUACCUGAGAACUGGUCACAGGCUCAGUUGAAUUUUAUUAUCUGGCUCAGAACAUUUUGUCUCUCUACUCUGAAUCAUAAUGUGACCUUACCACUUAACCUGCUGUUACUGGAAUGAAAUAUAAAUACCUGUUGGAGCUAUGGCUGUGUCUACACACAUGCAAAAGAAAUUGAACAUCAUUGAACCUGGUAUAAUUUUCUUGGCAUAAUUCACCUCAGCAGGUCCUCCAAUUUCUGUCAGGAGAAAGAAAACUGAAAAUCCUGCAGUUCUAAAGAGAAUACUGUAUAUAUUGCAGAGAACUGGUCCAUUGAAAAUUCGGGAUUAGAUCAAAAUUUACAGCCCCAGCAGGAAGGGCUUUACGCUCUUUGAUAGAAACUGACCUCUCCUUGCCUCUCCCUCUGUGUGUCCUCCCCACAAGGGCAACCCAAAUCUAGACGCCCCCAUUACUGUCCCCUUAAGGUAACAACACACUGAAUUUCUUUUAUCUUUCAGCUUUUAAACUGAAAUAACUAGAAGUUGAUUGUCUACAUAUAUAAUAUACUUGAUUGCUAUUUCUACUUCUUUCCUUGUCAAAAUUAUAAAUUUUGUGGCAAUAAUGGCUAUUUAUUCCUUUAGAGCAUAUAACAGGACUAGGCACACAUCAGGGUUAUAAGAAAAGUUUCUCCUUUCAUUUGAUAUGAACAAUUCUAAAUUCAAUUAAGACUACCCCUCCAAAUUCUUAAUUACACAAAACAUCUGUGGCUCAUUUAAAAAACAAACAAAUAAAAAAAAACAGGCUUGGGAACAUGAUCGUAUCAGCAGGAUCAAUAGCCAUAGAGGGACUGGAAAUAAUGUAGAACUAAAAAUUUCUCAUAAAAUAUUCUUCUUUAAUCGUUUCAAUUGUUGUAUUCUCUACUUGUUUGUAGAAAUAAAACCUGGAUAACAACACUAUAUUUCAAAGGUAGUAUUUUAUUAAUUUUCAAAACUGAUUCUGGCUAUGCCACUUUUUACCAUCGUUCUUCAUCUCUUGGAGAGAAUUGGUAAGGGCACUAGCUAGAAGUUUUGCAAUGGUAAGUUUCUGCAACAACAACAAAAUAUAUAUUCUGAUUUUUGAUCUAGAGAAUAGUCAGUGUUCUCUCUGGCAAAAAAUUAGAUAUAAGAAACCAUGAAAUUUUAAUCACAGAAAUUACUCUCUUAGCUAGAUGGUCAGCACUAUCACAGGGAAUAGAGGUUGGGUAAAACUGGAAAUCAAAGGUAACAAUAAUGCAGUAAAGGGAAUGGAGAGCGUGGAAUAGCCCUGGUGCCUGGUUAAUCUUGGGUCCGAUCCCUGUGGACUGUGUUGGAAAUGCUGUGAGUGUAAGUGAAGAUAGAACGCUGUUGCCAUGGACUGAGGAGUGAGUCUCCUGUGAGCAGCGGGGAGGCAAGAGGGUAAGAUGACUGUGGAGUAGUAAACCAGGACAACUGUAAUCGAAAUGCAGAUGCCUAAAAAGGCAAGGCUCUCCUUCUAAAUGGGAC